CUGUGGCCAAUUAAGGCAACUGGGCUCUUUCCAUGUGAGUCCCGGGUGCACUUCGCUACAGAUAAGCAGCCUCCAUGGCUUGCAAGCAGCCUGGUGCUUGUAUAGACUACCUUAAACAAUCUUGAAAGCAGUC